GCGUAGACGCCGGCAGUGGACGCGGGCUCUGCGCUCGUGGUGGGAUGGGAAGGGGGUGCUGCGCCCCAAAAACGAGACACUGCUGGACGCCGGGGCAAACUGGAUCGAGAGGAGGAUGGGGGCAUCAGCUGGCGGCGCAACACCUUCGCCGCUCCGAUUCGCCAUGUUCAUCCGCCGUCGGACCAAUCCAGCACCACCAUGAUGAUGCCCUCGUCGAGCCGAACCUGUUCUGCCGAUGUUCGUCGCCCCUACAUCGUCAGACACUGCCGCCCACGGAGCUGCCGCCGGCCAUCUCGUCUCCGGCCAAAUUCCUGCCAGCACAGGGCCCCUCCAACGUCGACCAAUAACACAUCCACCAAUGUGCAAGUGAUGAGAGAGACAAACCUACUCGAAGGGAACUUGUUUGAAGUGUAAAUAACUACCUUCAUUCUUUUUCAUACCUAGCUGGGAGGAUGGUGGCGAGGUCUAAGAGGGUGCCAGGUCUGUGGAUUGCAGCUCUCAGCGACAUCUCUCGUGAUCUGGUGCAGCGUCAUCUCCCUCCAGAUUUCCAGUCUCCACUUCCGCGUCCGCGUGAUGGUCUUUUUUUGCAGAUGAGACUCUGAGAUUUUGAACAUGUUUCGACAAGGCGAAACCCUAGAGAAUGUGAACAAGAAGAAGCUGAGGGGAGAGGUAAGGACGAAUGUCCUGACUUAUGAUAGACAUGGUUCUCACGGCAAUUUGUUCAUAUUAAGUUUGCAACUUGGUAUCUUAGAAAUGAGAUUGAACUAUGAGUCUGGAUGUUUGUGAAGAAACUGGUAUCACAAAACUAACAUAAUUCCAAUUAUUUUACGACGGGAUAUGAAAAGCGGCAAUAAUAUCAUGCCAAUGCUAAGAAAAUAUUUGCU